CAAGCGUUGUCCGGAAUUAUUGGGCGUAAAGCGUUCGUAGGCGGCAUGUCAAGUCUGAUGUUAAAGCCCGGAGCUCAACUCCGGUUAGGCAUUGGAUACUGGCAAGCUAGAGUACAGAAGAGGCAAGGGGAAUUCCUAGUGUACCGGUGAAAUGCGUAGAUAUUAGGAGGAACACCGGUGGCGUAAGCGCCUUGCUGGUCUGUAACUGACGCUGAGGAACGAAAGCCAGGGUAGCAAAUGGGAUUAGAUACCCCAGUAGUCCUGGCCGUAAACGAUGGAUACUAGGUGUUGCAGGUAUCGACCCCUGCAGUGCUGCAGCUAACGCAAUAAGUAUCCCGCCUGGGGAGUACGCACGCAAGUGUGAAACUCAAAGGAAUUGACGGGGACCCGCACAAGCGGUGGAACAUGUGGUUUAAUUCGAAGCAACGCGAAGAACCUUACCAGGGCUUGACAUCCUGAGAACUUUCCAGAGAUGGAUUGGUGCCCUUCGGGGAACUCAGUGACAGGUGGUGCACGGUUGUCGUCAGCUCGUGUCGUGAGAUGUUGGGUUAAGUCCCGCAACGAGCGCAACCCACGUUGUUAGUUGCCUGUAAGAACCUGUUCUUGCAGUGCUCUCUAGCGAGACUGCCGGUGAUAAACCGGAGGAAGGUGUGGACGACGUCAAAUCAUCAUGCCCCUUAUGUCCUGGGCUACACACGUGUUACAAUGGGUGGGACAACGAGCAGCCAAUCAGCGAUGAUGAGCAAAUCUCUUAAACCUACUCUCAGUUCGGAUCGUAGUCUGCAACUCGACUACGUGAAGUCGGAAUCGCUAGUAACCGUAGAUCAGCACGCUGCGGUGAAUACGUUCCCGGGUCUUGUACACACUGCCCGUCACACCAUGGAAGCUGAUCACGCCCGAAGUCGGUGUGCUACUCAAUGAGAGGCAGCCGCCUAAGGCAGG
rnacentral:rRNA from 1 species